AACAUUCUCUCUAUUAUCAUACUGGCAUGCUUCAUAUUUAACUCUGCAAGCUACCGACAGCUCAUUUAGAUUGUGGCAAGUUGGUUGUACUUUCUCAUUGACCAAAAGUUCGAUAAGAUGAGGUGAAUGCCAUAAUAUCAACAUCACUAUGGUUUGGGGACCUCUGUAUGGUGAGACACUGAGACUAACAUUGAACUGUCUAUCUGAUUGCAGUGCAGGGGUACAAAUUGAUUAAAUACACACAUUACUACCUCAGAAGGACAGAAGACCGGGAUAUAAUAAUACGACUAAAACUACCUUCUGACUUUCAUGGACCUCCAAGGAUGUCGUAAUUGAUACGAAAAAACACCGAAGACCAUAUUUUUUUUCGUUUUCCAUAUGUGCCGAAAUCAUUGUUUCAACAAUGAAUUCCAUCACAUUUUUGUUCUUUUAAUCGUUAACAUUGAUAUCUAAAAGCUGUAAGAUCAUUCAAUUAUUAUGUGAAUGCAUUAUACUUCUCCAGGUAUGGUUUUCUGAUCUUUCAGUAACUUGAUAAUAAUGUUUCAGACAUUA